rnacentral:ribozyme from 1 species
UGCCCAGCAACUCCUAUCCCUACCUCCUCGCGGCACUGGCCGGGGUACGAGUAACCUUAGGGAAGAUCGGGUAACCAACCCCCGGUGGGAACUUUGGUCGUAUGCUGACAGGGAAGG